UGAAAAAAAAGGGACUCAAAAGAGUGAAAGAGAAAGAAAGAAACACUGGAUUUUUUUUAGAAAGAAAAAGAAAAAUGGGUUUUGGAAAAGAAAUGUUCUUUCUUUCUUUCUUUCUUGUUUGUUUUUUUGUUUCUUCUUCUUU
rnacentral:ribozyme from 13 species